AGAGUCUCGGUGGAGAAUCUGAUGGGAACAACAUGGAUAUCGUAGAAGUUGGACAGCUUGAUGAGGACAUAAUGACAGCAGAAAAGAUGGCAGAGGUUGCCAUUAGAGUGCUAUGUGCAGGAAUGUCAGUUGCUUUGAGCUCACUGACAGAGUUUGCCAUAGCUUCAGCUGAUGGAUAUACUGGUUUGGUAAAGAAUUGUGAGG
rnacentral:misc_RNA from 1 species